GAUGAACGCUAGCGGGAGGCCUAACACAUGCAAGCCGAGCGGUAUUGUUUCUUCGGAAAUGAGAGAGCGGCGUACGGGUGCGGAACACGUGUGCAACCUGCCUUUAUCUGGGGGAUAGCCUUUCGAAAGGAAGAUUAAUACUCCAUAAUAUAUUGAACGGCAUCGUUUAAUAUUGAAAGCUCCGGCGGAUAGAGAUGGGCACGCGCAAGAUUAGCUAGUUGGUGAGGUAACGGCUCACCAAGGCGAUGAUCUUUAGGGGGCCUGAGAGGGUGAUCCCCCACACUGGUACUGAGACACGGACCAGACUCCUACGGGAGGCAGCAGUGAGGAAUAUUGGUCAAUGGGUGCAAGCCUGAACCAGCCAUCCCGCGUGAAGGACGACUGCCCUAUGGGUUGUAAACUUCUUUUGUAUAGGGAUAAACCUACCCUCGUGAGGGUAGCUGAAGGUACUAUACGAAUAAGCACCGGCUAACUCCGUGCCAGCAGCCGCGGUAAUACGGAGGGUGCAAGCGUUAUCCGGAUUUAUUGGGUUUAAAGGGUCCGUAGGCGGACUUAUAAGUCAGUGGUGAAAGCCUGUCGCUUAACGAUAGAACUGCCAUUGAUACUGUAAGUCUUGAGUAUAUUUGAGGUAGCUGGAAUAAGUAGUGUAGCGGUGAAAUGCAUAGAUAUUACUUAGAACACCAAUUGCGAAGGCAGGUUACCAAGAUAUAACUGACGCUGAGGGACGAAAGCGUGGGGAGCGAACAGGAUUAGAUACCCUGGUAGUCCACGCCGUAAACGAUGCUAACUCGUUUUUGGGCUUUAGGGUUCAGAGACCAAGCGAAAGUGAUAAGUUAGCCACCUGGGGAGUACGCUCGCAGGAGUGAAACUCAAAGGAAUUGACGGGGGCCCGCACAAGCGGUGGAUUAUGUGGUUUAAUUCGAUGAUACGCGAGGAACCUUACCAAGACUUAAAUGGGAAUUGACAGCUUUAGAAAUAGAGCUUUCUUCGGACAAUUUUCAAGGUGCUGCAUGGUUGUCGUCAGCUCGUGCCGUGAGGUGUUAGGUUAAGUCCUGCAACGAGCGCAACCCCUGUCACUAGUUGCCAUCAUUCAGUUGGGGACUCUAGUGAGACUGCCUACGCAAGUAGAGAGGAAGGUGGGGAUGACGUCAAAUCAUCACGGCCCUUACGUCUUGGGCCACACACGUAAUACAAUGGCCGGUACAGAGGGCAGCUACACAGCGAUGUGAUGCAAAUCUCGAAAGCCGGUCUCAGUUCGGAUUGGAGUCUGCAACUCGACUCUAUGAAGCUGGAAUCGCUAGUAAUCGCGCAUCAGCCAUGGCGCGGUGAAUACGUUCCCGGGCCU
rnacentral:rRNA from 1 species